rnacentral:rRNA from 1 species
AGUGGACGAACCUCUGGUGUUCGGGUUGUCACGCCAGUGGCAUUGCCCGGUAGCUAUGUUCGGACAGGAUAACCGCUGAAAGCAUCUAAGCGGGAAGCCCCUUCCAAGAUAAGAUCUCCCUGGAGCUUCGAGCUCCCUGAAGGAUCGUUGAAGACUACAACGUUGAUAGGCUGGGUGUGGAAGCGCGGUGACGCGUUGAGCUAACCAGUACUAAUUGCCCGUGAGGCUUGACCAU